rnacentral:tRNA from 1 species
ACCCGGCUGGCUCAGUCGGUGGAGCACGUGACUCACAAUCUCGGGGUCAAGAGUUCAAACCCCAUGUUGGGCA